rnacentral:rRNA from 1 species
GACGAACGCUGGCGGCGUGCUUAACACAUGCCAGUCGAGCGAACAGACCAGGAUUUUCCUCCUCUUACGUUAGCGGCGGACGGGUGAGUAACACGUGGAUAACCUACCUAUAGGACUGGGAUAACUUCGAGAAACGGGAGCUAAUACCGGAUAAUAUAUUGAACCGCAUGGUUCAAUAGUGAAAGGCGGUUUUGCUGUCACUUAUAGAUGGUUCCGCGCCGCAUUAGCUAGUUGGUAAGGUAACGGCUUACCAAGGCAACGACGCGUAGCAGACCUGAGAGGGUGAUCGGCCACACUGGAACUGAGACACGGUCCAGACUCCUACGGGAGGCAGCAGUAGGGAAUGUUACGCAAUGGGCGAAAGCUUGACGGAGCAACGCCGCGUGAGUGAUGAAGGUCUUCGGAUCGUAAAACUCUGUUAUUAGGGAAGAACAAAUGUGUAAGUAACUAUGCACGUCUUGACGGUACCUGAACAGAAAGCCACGGCUAACUACGUG